GGAUGUUAGAAACCGACAUGUCUGUCAGACCCAAAAAGUCGACGACGUGUGUCAGGCACCGGAGGCUGAUGACCUACUUGCCUAUUAGAUUUAAAAAUGAGAAUGACACAAAUUCAGAAAUCGGGGGCCAAGACUUAAAGAGAACUUAUGAAUGUUGAUUCGGAUAUGGCGUGUAAAAUGCAACCGAAUGGUUAUGAUUGUUCCGGGAAGGGUAAAUUUACACCAGUGUAAGUAUUUCCCAAAAAUAGCACGUUAGCAACCCUAUUUCCACACGAACGCAAUAUUUAGAAGAUUUUAUUACGACAUACUCCUGGGAGAUUGUACAACAACAUACAUUGGGCAAUGUCCGUAUCAGUUUAAUACAUACGACAAUCUACGCACCUGUUACGAAGCUUGCAGAGAUUGCACAAGGAAGGAGAUCAAAGG